UACGUAGGGCGCAAGCGUUGUCCGGAAUUAUUGGGCGUAAAGAGCUCGUAGGCGGUUUGUCACGUCGGGUGUGAAAGCCCGGGGCUUAACCCCGGGUCUGCAUUCGAUACGGGCAGACUAGAGGGUGGUAGGGGAGAUCGGAAUUCCUGGUGUAGCGGUGAAAUGCGCAGAUAUCAGGAGGAACACCGGUGGCGAAGGCGGAUCUCUGGGCCAUUACUGACGCUGAGGAGCGAAAGCGUGGGGAGCGAACAGG
rnacentral:rRNA from 1 species